rnacentral:rRNA from 1 species
GUCGAACGGUAACAUGUCCAGCAAUGGAUGAUGACGAGUGGCGCACGGGUGCGUAACACGUAUGCAAUCUACCCUUAACUGGGGGAUAGCCCCGAGAAAUCGGGAUUAAUACCCCAUAAUAUUACGGAGAGGAGUCUCCCUGUAAUUAAAGCUCCGGCGGUUUUGGAUGAGCAUGCGCGACAUUAGCUAGUUGGUAAGGUAACGGCUUACCAAGGCUUCGAUGUCUAGGGGUUCUGAGAGGAUUUACCCCCACACUGGUACUGAGACACGGACCAGACUCCUACGGGAGGCAGCAGUAAGGAAUAUUGGUCAAUGGACGCAAGUCUGAACCAGCCAUGCCGCGUGAAGGAAGACGGCCCUACGGGUUGUAAACUUCUUUUGUACAGGAAAAAACCACCGGUCGUGAACCGGUGCUGAUGGUACUGUAAGAAUAAGGAUCGGCUAACUCCGUGCCAGCAGCCGCGGUAAUACGGAGGAUCCAAGCGUUAUCCGGAUUCAUUGGGUUUAAAGGGUGCGCAGGCGGAAUGAUAAGUCAGUGGUGAAAUCUCUCGGCUCAACUGAGAAACUGCCAUUGAUACUGUCGUUCUUGAGUACACUUGGAGUGGGCGGAAUGUGUCAUGUAGCGGUGAAAUGCUUAGAUAUGACACAGAACACCGAUCGCGAAGGCAGCUCACUAAGUUGUAACUGACGCUCAGGCACGAAAGCGUGGGGAUCAAACAGGAUUAGAUACCCUGGUAGUCCACGCUGUAAACGAUGAUCACUCGAUGUUGGCGAUAUACUGUCAGCGUCUAAGCGAAAGCAUUAAGUGAUCCACCUGGGGAGUACGAUCGCAAGAUUGAAACUCAAAGGAAUUGACGGGGGCCCGCACAAGCGGAGGAGCAUGUGGUUAAUUCGAUGAUACGCGAGGAACCUUACCUGGGCUAGAACGCUGGGCGACCGUCCGUGAAAGCGGAUUUCUCUUCGAGCGGCAGCGAGGUGCUGCAUGGUGUCGUCAGCUCGU